rnacentral:lncRNA from 1 species
AUGGAGGGAAAAUUGUCAGGAAGUGACACAGGGACAUUUGAUCAGCUGUCUGUGGUGGAGUUAUGGACUAAAACACAAUUUCGACGUGACAGAAGCAGCAAAGAUCCUAGUCUAGUCCAGAUCCAGUCGCCAGAAGUCCAGAACCCUCCGUGUGUCACAUUCACACUCAGUCCAACAUCAUCAGAGCCACUGGGACGCUGGUCGACCAAACCCAUCAAGCUCAGCGAUCAUUUCUACAUCCCCACUUUCUUAGAGUGUAUGGCCAACGUUCCCACUUCUCACGGUGAGAGAACAUUAUCACCGUAACUACUUCACACCAUCUGCGUGUUAUAAACACACAGAAAAAGAAACCACAUGGCGAACCUCAACAAGUAACAGGGGUUUAGUGAUGGGAUGUUCACACGGCGAGCGAAAAAACGCUCCCGUCCUUGCCCCGCGAUUUGUUUUAGUUCCAACACUGGGCCCAGUUCAGUGGUUUCUGGGCAGAGGAAAGCUGGCACUGUGGGGGACAUCUGGUCGCAAGAGGGGCGCGUCCGCACCAGGCCAACUGCCGUGCCAGAGGAAGCAGGCCCCCAGA